rnacentral:rRNA from 1 species
CUGGCUCAGAAUGAACGCUGGCGGCGUGCUUAACACAUGCAAGUCGAACGAGAAAUCUUUAGCUCGCUAGAGAAAGUAAAGUGGCGCACGGGUGAGUAACGCGUGGGUAAUCUGCCUCCGAAUCGGGGAUAACAUUGCGAAAGCGAUGCUAAUACCGGAUAAAAUCUGGUUGGCUUCGGUGAACCGGAUCAAAGGUGGUCUCUUUAUAAAAGCUACCGUUUGGAGAUGAGCUCGCGUACCAUUAGCUAGUUGGUGAGGUAAAGGCUCACCAAGGCGACGAUGGUUAGCUGGUCUGAGAGGAUGAUCAGCCACACCGGAACUGGAACACGGUCCGGACUCCUACGGGAGGCAGCAGUGAGGAAUUUUGCGCAAUGGGGGAAACCCUGACGCAGCAACGCCGCGUGAGUGAUGAAGGCUUUCGGGUCGUAAAGCUCUGUCAGGUGGGAAGAACCCACCAAGUGUUAAGACCACUUGGUGCUGACGGUACCACCGAAGGAAGCACCGGCUAACUCCGUGCCAGCAGCCGCGGUAAUACGGGGGGUGCGAGCGUUAUUCGGAAUCAUUGGGCGUAAAGGGCGCGCAGGCGGUUUUGUAAGUCAGAUGUGAAAUCCCGGGGCUUAACCCCGGAAGUGCAUAUGAAACUAUGAGACUUGAGUAUGGGAGAGGGAAGCGGAAUUCCUGGUGUAGCGGUGAAAUGCGUAGAUAUCAGGAGGAACACCGGUGGCGAAGGCGGCUUCCUGGACCAUUACUGACGCUGAGGCGCGAAGGCGUGGGGAGCGAACAGGAUUAGAUACCCUGGUAGUCCACGC